AAGCAUACUUGGCAAUAAAGCUCUUUCUGAUUCUGAUUCUUCUAUAGUGAAACUGUUUAUUUACAUGAACAAACCGAUUCACUAGAAUGAAUCAGACUUUCUAACUGGAACGUUUAAGAUUAACCGAAUCACUAAAAUCAAUCAGACUAUCCAAAGCUACAGUAGGCUACAUAAGAACUCUUAGAGGACCGAUGAAUCACUAAUGAUUCGGACUUUACAAUAAGAAAUUGAGAUAUUUAAAAUGGAUCGGACUACCAACGCUACAUCAGAAAUCGCAGAGACCGUUUAGGAUGAAUCGAAUCACUAGCAUGAAUCGGAUUAUCCAGUGCUACAUAAAAGAGAAAGGACCGUUUAAGAUGAAUCUAGAUCGAUUCUCUAGAACGAUUCGGACUAGGUCUACACAGCGCUACAUAAGAAAUAGAGUGAACCAUUUAGAAACCGAAUCACUAGAAUGAAUCGGAAAAAUCCAACGCUACAUAAUAAAAGAGAGGACCGUUUAGGAUGACGCGAAUAUGCAUCGUACUUCUACUCUUGAAAGAGAAAGGACUGUUGAGGGCAGCAACACUUCCAUGCAUCUACGUGGCUACACCAGGCAUGCUGGGAUACACGUAGCCGUGUUCCGAAUGUGGAGGUAUGCGGGGCCGGGCCGGUGGGCGUGUGGUGAAAUCCAGUUCGCCUAAGCGCACAGGUCAGCACUGUCCGGUCAGCAGCUGCUGCCUGGCCGCGGUCCCACGCUUCCCAGGCCGGGGGGAGGAUUGACAGGUCAGUAAUAAAAUCAGGCGCCCUGGCUGAGCUCAGAGCUGCCCAUUGUUCGAGGGCCAGGCCCGCUGCUGCUGUUUACUCUCUCCCAUAUGCAUUAUUCAACGGCCCAGGAGCUCCCAGAGAAAGGGGCCCCAUUCAGGGAGCCUCUUGCCCAUGUUUUGUUUUGCUAAUUUUCAAUUAAAAUAAACCAUGGCACUAAGGGGGGAGUAAGAGAGCGCAAGGGAGAGAUAGUCCCAGUACUAUUUACCCUGUGACGUCUAAAGGGAUUAGGCUGAUCACAUAAAUGACAAUAAAACACUACUUAUUGAGUAUUAUGUCAGUGACAUAUCUGUUAUUUUAAAUCAGGGGUAGACUGUGGGACAAUGAGGUGUGAUGCUGUUUCAGUUUGGUCACAUUCUGCAGGGGAUGUCUGAAUAACUUUUGCACACUAAUAAACUUGAGAGUCCAAAGUCUGUAUUAUGUGCUGUCCUUUUAUAAUAAUCAGAAGGAAAUGGCAUACAAUGUGCUGCUUUGUUAAGUGAUGGAUUUUUAAUCUUAAUUAAUAUUAUGCAUGAGUUGAGAUAAUCUGAAAUCAAUAUAUAUUCUAAUUUAAUAUCAAUAGAAUCCAAAAUCUACAUAUACGUUUUGUUAUUUAAAACCAGUUGCUACUGUUCAAAAGUUUGGGGGUCAAUAAGGACUCAUCAAAAGACAUUUAUAAUGUUACAAAGGUUUUCUAUUUCAAACAAAUGCUGUUCUUUUGAACUUUCAUUUUUAUAAAAGAAUCCUGAAAAAAAAUGUGUAUCAUAGUUUCCACAAAAAUGUUAAGCAGCACAACUGUUUUCAACAUUUAUAAUAAUAAUAACAAAUUUUUCUUGAGUGCCAAAUCAGCAUAUUAGAAUCAUUUCUGAGGGAUCCUGUGACACUGAAUACUGGAGUAAUGUGCAGGAAAAAAAUUAAAUAUUUUAAAAUAGAAAAAUGUAAAAUUGUAAUAAUAUUUUUGAUUGAAUAAAUGCAGCCUAAUUUAAAACAUUUGAUUUAACAGAUUAUUCGACAAUAAUAACGAUUUAAAGAUUUGAUAACAGAUUGGGCUGAUGCAUAUUGAUUUUAGUUUGAACGUUUCACUUAAUGAACGUUUUAACCUGCAGAACGAUGACAUGACCUGCAGAUCAUUAAAUAUCAGCAUCCCUGACACCAUGGGCUAAUCAAUAAGUGCACUGAUAGGUUUUUAUUGUUGGUUUUUUUCACACAGGAGGGGGCUACACUAACCCAGAGAGGCUGUGGACAGAUGCAGUGACAGUGGGGAGUGAGGAAAGUUAAAGAUUCACCACACAUCUGUUACUCUGCCACAGAGCGGACUCUCAGGCACCUACCCCCGCUGUCUGCUGGCUUGCCCGUCUGCCUGGGUAUGUCUGUCUGUCUGUCUGUCUUCCUGCCUGCUCCCCUUAAUAUGUGACUGCAUGCUGUCCACCUGUCUCUCUGAGUUUGAUUGACUUGCUGUUAACCUGCAUGUGUCUUCUCUGUGUGCUUACCACACUGUCAGCCUAACUGCCCAACUGCUUCCUGUUGCAUACAUGUGUCCUCGUCCCCCUUAAUGAGCGAGCGCAUCUUCAAACCGCACAGCGACUUCAAUCACCCGCCUAACGAACCCUGCAUUUUGGUAACCGUCUCCUGCCAACAGUCAGAUGAGCAUUUAUAUUAUAUUCAGUUUUAAUUAUAACUAAAAAGACCAAUCUAAUUUAAUCAGGAGUGCAGUAUAAUAAUUAACUCUGCCAGUUAUUUAGAGUCUAACCUGCCUCUUAUUUAGCAGGUUUUCACAAUUGUUUGGUCCAAUACCCAAAUUCAAUUCCAUCUCACAUUUUCAAACAGACUUGGAAAAGGUUUUCAAGUUUUUAAGCAAGUUUAUUACAACGUUUUUUAUGUGAUACAUCAGGCUUUUAUGGCUCUUAGCGGGAUACAGAAUAUAUGAUAUGAUACGUGAUAAAGAAAAAACACCCAAGAGGUGCCAAACUGGGCAAAAAUAUGCAAUUUGGUGCAUUUGCUGAAAUUAAUAUGGCCAAAAAUUAAGAUGAAAUUAUUUUAGGUUGUAAUGUAAAUCAAUGAGAUCUUCAUAACAGUAUAACAGGCUACUUACAUAAAAUAUGUACAGUAUAAAUUUAAAUUGGUUAUCAUUCUAUAUCUCAAUAAUUUGUCUUAUCAUAUUUAAAUGCAUAGUUUUAUGAUCAAAGUUCUGUCGUUUUUAUUGUGGGGGCAAAAACAUAUACAGUAAUGCAGUACAGUGCUGAUUGAAAGUGUACAAAU
ensembl:lncRNA